UGGGGAAUAUUGGACAAUGGAGGCAACUCUGAUCCAGCAAUUCUGUGUGUGUGAAGAAGGUUUUAGGACUGUAAAACACUUUUAGUAGGGAAGAAAGAAAUGACGGUACCUACAGAAGAAGCGACGGCUAAAUACGUGCCAGCAGCCGCGGUAAUACGUAUGUCGCGAGCGUUAUCCGGAAUUAUUGGGCUUAAAGGGCAUCUAGGCGGUUAAACAAGUUGAAGGUGAAAACCUGUGGCUCAACCAUAGGCUUGCCUACAAAACUGUAUAACUAGAGUACUGGAAAGGUGGGUGGAACUAAACGAGUAGAGGUGAAAUUCGUAGAUAUGUGUAGGAAUGCCGAUGAUGAAGAUAACUCACUGGACAGAAACUGACGCUGAAGUGCGAAAGCUAGGGGAGCAAACAGG
rnacentral:rRNA from 1 species